GAUACCAAUAGACCUCCAGAAGCUACUGGCACCGAUACCACCAGACCUCCAGAAGCUACUGGCACCGAUACCACCAGACCUCCAGAAGCUACUGGCACCGAUACAACAGGCUCAUCAGAAGCCACAAGACCCCAGGGCCAGAAGGCCAAAAAAAGACACAGAAAUCUAGUCCAACAGAGGGGAGCCAGCAAGAUGAAGCAAAAAAAAAAAGUAUGAGUGUCCAGAAUGCUGUAGGAGAGCCAGGGAAAACAACUUUGACUACUCCAAGAUUUUGAAAAGAAGAGUGAGAGAGG